GACGGGUGAGUAACGCGUGAGUAACCUGCCUUUCAGAGGGGGAUAACGUUCUGAAAAGAACGCUAAUACCGCAUAACAUCAAUUUAUCGCAUGAUAGGUUGAUCAAAGGAGCAAUCCGCUGGAAGAUGGACUCGCGUCCGAUUAGCCAGUUGGCGGGGUAACGGCCCACCAAAGCGACGAUCGGUAGCCGGACUGAGAGGUUGAACGGCCACAUUGGGACUGAGACACGGCCCAGACUCCUACGGGAGGCAGCAUG
rnacentral:rRNA from 1 species